AUGCGCACCGAGGCACUGACGAAGAAGGCGUGCAACCGCUGGGCCGUGAUAGAGCCCCUUCUAACGUGGUUAGAAGUCGGAGCGCGUCGUGAUCCACACAGGUUUCGCCGCCACCCACGCCACCCAUGCCCUCGGAGGCCUUGGCGCGCGCGCAGCUGCUCCUCGACUUCCCUCCAACUGCUGAAAAGCUCGAUAAAUGGAGAGGCACUAUCCGGAGCCUCGUUGGUGUCGCCAACAAAGACAAGACACGACCAACAGGGCCAUCCGGCCGGCACUCCGUCGAGCCGCAGGACUGGUGAGAGGAGUGCUCCAUCCGACGUGGUUGGCCAAUCUAGUAGUGGUGUGCAAGGCGAAUGGGAAGUGAGGCCAUGUAUUGACUACACAUAUAUCAAUAAGGCUUGUCCCAAGGACCCUUUCCCAUUGCCGUGCAUCGACCAAAUUGUUGACUCCAUGGCCGGGUGUGAUCUGUUGUCAUUCCUUGAUGCCUACUCAGGAUACCACCAGAUCUUUAUGACGAAACAAGACAAAGAGAAGAGAACGUUCAUCACCCCAUGUGGUACGUAUUGUUUUAUACGGAUGCCUUUUGGGUUGAAGAGUGCUGGCUCGACGUUUGCAAGAGCAGUCCAGAUUGGUUUUGAGCCCCAGCUACAUAGAAAUAUGGAAGCUUAUAUGGAUGACAUAGUGGUUGUCGGUGUCAAAACCGGCGGAUCUCGGGUAGGGGGUCCCGAACUGUGCGUCUGGGCGGAUGGUAACAUGAGACGAGGGACACGAUGUUUUACCCAGGUUCGGGCCCUCUUGAUGGAGGUAAAACCCUACAUCCUGCUUGAUUAA
rnacentral:rRNA from 1 species